UACGAAGGGGGCUAGCGUUGUUCGGAAUUACUGGGCGUAAAGCGCGCGCAGGCGGUCCUUCAAGUCAGAGGUGAAAGCCCAGAGCUCAACUCUGGAAUGGCCUUUGAGACUAGAGGACUUGGGUACGGGAGAGGUGAGUGGAAUUCCGAGUGUAGAGGUGAAAUUCGUAGAUAUUCGGAAGAACACCAGUGGCGAAGGCGGCUCACUGGCCCGUUUACCGACGCUCAGGCGCGACAGCGUGGGGGAGCAAACAGG
rnacentral:rRNA from 1 species